CCCAAGUUUUAUAAAUAGACCCAUAUUAUCAAUGUUGUGUUUUUUUCAGAAAGCAAACUUCCCAUUGUUGCUAUGCACUCCUUGCUAAGCUCUCUCUAUUCUUACCCUAUAUAUUGUCUUCUACAGAAGUUUGAAAAGUUUUGGAGCUCUGACUUCAUUUUCAAUAUGUCCUUUCCUGCUGCUGUGAUGGCACAAGAGGAAAUAUCUAUGCUCAAGAGACUCAAAGCAACCCAAAGCUGUCCAGACUGCAGAGAGGCUCUAAACCUGGGAGCAGAGAGGAUGAGCCUGGUGUGACCAUUCCUGGGUGAUGGCAGAUCAGAGGACAGACAUGAGGCUCCUUGGCAUUUAAUUCCUGUGCCCUGUUAACCCUGGGAGCCAGCAGAAAACCCACAGAUCUUUGCCAAAUUCCAAUCUCUCUAUUGCUUCUGGACAGCACUUCACUGAAUGAAAGUAUUUCUGAGUCCAAAGUGGGUCUGUGACACGAAUAAAGCCAACACACCCGCCCUGCGAGCUCAGAGUCCACGUGAAUGCACAAGUCUGCAAUUUCAUGUUUGAAGUGGUUAAAAUGGGUGAAAACAGCCAAACUCCAAUUACAUUUCAGACAAAAAGCCUGAUUAAGCUCUGUGUUUUCUGCUGCAGUAAAACAUGUGAAAUACAAAAAUUCCCAAGAGGCAGGAAGCACAAAAAUGCUGCUUCUUGUUUAUUUGCUUGGUGUGACGGCACAAUUUAGAGUGGCUGUGCCGAGGCAGGGUGGAACAAAAGCUUUGCCCCCCUACCCUGCUCCUCAGCACAUCUUCCCAGCCCUGUUAUGGAUUUCAUAAUGGACCUGGAGAUAAUUUCAAGCUCCCGUUGAUCUGAGAUGAGUCAGACAAGCCAGCGCGAUGAUGAAGCCGGCAGUGAAAUUCCGGCAUGCGAGGGAGAAGAUGAGAACUUGCUCAUGCAGAGAUAUUCCCCACUCCCAGCAAACAUGAAAAUCUGGAGUUUGUUUUUCACAGGCCUUUGUGCAGCAAAAAUAAAUGAUCACUUCCAUUUA